UUAACUCAUUGAUUCAUCAAAUACUUACUGAAACCUAUUACAUUCCAGACGCUGUUCUAUGUACUGUCGAUUAAGCAGGGACAAACAAAACCCUUAUGUCUUUGAUUUAUAUGGCCUAGAAUAUGGUUUAUCUUGGUAAAUGUUUCAGGUGCACUUGAAAAGAAUGUCUGUUUUGCUGUUUUGGGGUGGAGUGUUCCGUAAGUGUUCAAUUGUUCUCUGUCUUUUCUGGUUUUCUGUUGACUCGUUCCAUUGAUUACAGAGAAGGAUGUGGUGAAGCCUCCAACUAUAUUUGUGGAUUUGCCUAUUUGUACUUUCACUUUUAUCAGUUUUUGCUACAUGUAUUUCGAGGUUCUGAUGUUAGUUUUUGUCAGCUAAGAAGCAUUUCUGGUCUUCACUGAGCCAUAAUUUCAUCAUCUUUAAAGUGGAGUUUUCAGGGACUUGGUUAUACUCCAGGAACCAGUGAUGAUAUUGGCUCCUGAUAUCCAGGAAGCUUUGAAGGCCCUGAGACCAGUAACUGGGAUGUUCAGAGAGGUUUGCUCUGCCAAGGGAUGUAGUUCCUUUAAAGAAGGGAGAAAACCAAUAAAGAGGAAAAUAUGGAUACAGAAAACUGGGAAUCAAAGAGAGGUGAAGGGGAUCCUAAUGAUGACUUGAAACAGGAAUUAAAAGAAAAUAAAGAACAUGUAAGCAAAAACUCAGUUGUAUGUAAGAAAAC
rnacentral:lncRNA from 1 species